rnacentral:rRNA from 1 species
CCUACGGGCGGCAGCAGUGGGGGAUAUUGCUCAAUGGGGGAAACCCUGAAGCAGCAACGCCGCGUGGAGGAUGAAGGUUUUCGGAUUGUAAACUCCUUUUGUUAGAGAAGAUAAUGACGGUAUCUAACGAAUAAGCACCGGCUAACUCCGUGCCAGCAGCCGCGGUAAUACGGAGGGUGCAAGCGUUACUCGGAAUCACUGGGCGGAAAGAGCGCGUAGGCGGGAUAGCAAGUCAGAUGUGAAAUCCUAUGGCUUAACCAUAGAACUGCAUUUGAAACUGUUAUUCUAGAGUAUGGGAGAGGUAGGUGGAAUUCUUGGUGUAGGGGUAAAAUCCGUAGAGAUCAAGAGGAAUACUCAUUGCGAAGGCGACCUGCUAGAACAUAACUGACGCUGAUGCGCGAAAGCGUGGGGAGCAAACAGGAUUAGAUACCCCUGUAGUC